AUUGAACGCUGGCGGCAGGCUUAACACAUGCAAGUCGAGCGGGGUGAUGGUGCUUGCACUAUCACUUAGCGGCGGACGGGUGAGUAAUGCUUAGGAAUCUGCCUAUUAGUGGGGGACAACAUCUCGAAAGGGAUGCUAAUACCGCAUACGUCCUACGGGAGAAAGCAGGGGAUCUUCGGACCUUGCGCUAAUAGAUGCGCCUAAGUCGGAUUAGCUAGUUGGUGGGGUAAAGGCCUACCAAGGCGACGAUCUGUAGCGGGUCUGAGAGGAUGAUCCGCCACACUGGGACUGAGACACGGCCCAGACUCCUACGGGAGGCAGCAGUGGGGAAUAUUGGACAAUGGGGGAAACCCUGAUCCAGCCAUGCCGCGUGUGUGAAGAAGGCCUUAUGGUUGUAAAGCACUUUAAGCGAGGAGGAGGCUACCCUAGUUAAUACCUAGGGAUAGUGGACGUUACUCGCAGAAUAAGCACCGGCUAACUCUGUGCCAGCCGCCGCCGUAA
rnacentral:rRNA from 1 species